UGCGCAGGUGGGAAUGUAAGUCAGUGGUGAAAUACUGCCGCUUAACGGUAGAAUUGCCAUUGAUACUGCAUUUCUUGAGUAUGGUUGAGGUAGGCGGAAUGUGUCGUGUAGCGGUGAAAUGCAUAGAUAUGACACAGAACGCCGAUUGCGAAGGCAGCUUACUAAGCCAUUACUGACACUGAGGCACGAAAGCGUGGGGAGCGAACAGGAUUAGAUACCCUGGUAGUC
rnacentral:rRNA from 1 species